rnacentral:rRNA from 1 species
AUUACCGAUGAGGCUUUGGGUCCACCUCCAACCCGUGUUUAUUUUACCUUGUUGCUUCGGCGGGCCCGCCUUUACUGGCCGCCGGGGGCUCACGCCCCCGGGCCCGCGCCCGCCGAAGACACCCCCGAACUCUGUCUGAAGAUUGAAGUCUGAGUGAAAAUAUAAAUUAUUUAAAAUUUCAACAACGGAUCUCUUGGUUCCGGCAUCGAUGAAGAACGCAGCGAAAUGCGAUACGUAAUGUGAAUUGCAAAUUCAGUGAAUCAUCGAGUCUUUGAACGCACAUUGCGCCCCCUGGUAUUCCGGGGGGCAUGCCUGUCCGAGCGUCAUUGCUGCCCUCAAGCCCGGCUUGUGUGUUGGGCCCCGUCCUCCGUUCCGGGGGACGGGCCCGAAAGGCAGCGGCGGCACCGCGUCCGGUCCUCGAGCGUAUGGGGCUUUGUCACCCGCUCUGUAGGCCCGGCCAGCGCUUGCCGAAACCCAAAUUUUUAUCCAGGUUGACCUCGGAUCAGGUAGGGAUACCCCGCUGAACUUAAGCAUAUCAAUAAGCGGAGGACGUG